GGGCGCAGGACUGCAGGCUGGGGCUCCGCUCCCCGGCGGGAGCCCGCGCGUGGUUCCCAGCGAAGUCCCCGCGCGGCUGGGCCCAGCGUGAGUAUUCUCCGCCCGCUGUCCUCCCCCUGGAGGCGGCAGCGCCCGUUUAUUUGAGGAGGAUGAGGCUGUCACUACUACAGUUGGGACUGUUUCAUACUCCGUGCUCUUGUGCUAUGCCAGGGGGUACUGUCUAACCCACAAGUCUCUGCCAGGAAUGUUGCUGUCCACACUGGAGUGUAAGACACCUGCGGAGCUCGUCUAUGGGGCUCAUGUUGGCUGAGGCUCUGAACUACAGAACUGCAAACAACCAAGGGAGCGCCCCAGGCCCCAGGCUUCUAAUGUGAGGAAAAACACGGAAUGACAAGUGUGGGAAAGAGCAAGCACUAAAUUACUGUCAGAAAAAUAAACGGAGUAGCACAGUGCUGCUCGGUGAUUUACGGGGGCAAUUAGUCACCACCCCACGGCGCUGCUGAGGACAGCACGGCAGCAGACAAGUCAGGCCCAUGAGGAAGAAGAGGCUUUGCACUGCUCUCCAGACAACUUUUCAAACAACAAGAGAGGAUAUUUGAGCACAUUAGGUUUUGUGUCUUCAUUCUGGGUACCUACUCUUCAUAUUAUUCUACCAACUUAAUACCCGUGUGAAGAUGUGCCUGCUUCGCCUUCCAUCAUGACUGAAGUUUCCUGAGGCCUCCCCAGCUAUGCUCCCUAUACAGCCUGCAGAACGGUGA
rnacentral:lncRNA from 10 species